GUGCUCACUUCAGCAGCACAUAUACUAAAAUUGGAACGAUACAGAGAUUAGCACGGCCCCUGCACAAGGAUGACACGUGAAUUUAUGAAGCGUUCCAUAUUUUU
ensembl:snRNA U6 U6 spliceosomal RNA